UGAACGCUAGCGGGAGGCCUAACACAUGCAAGCCGAGCGGUAGAGUCUCUUCGGAGACUUGAGAGCGGCGCACGGGUGCGGAACACGUGUGCAACCUGCCUUUAUCUGGGGGAUAGCCUUUCGAAAGGAAGAUUAAUACCCCAUAAUAUACUGGAUGGCAUCAUCUGGUAUUGAAAACUCCGGUGGAUAGAGAUGGGCACGCGCAAGAUUAGAUAGUUGGUGAGGUAACGGCUCACCAAGUCAGCGAUCUUUAGGGGGCCUGAGAGGGUGAUCCCCCACACUGGUACUGAGACACGGACCAGACUCCUACGGGAGGCAGCAGUGAGGAAUAUUGGACAAUGGGUGAGAGCCUGAUCCAGCCAUCCCGCGUGAAGGACGACGGCCCUAUGGGUUGUAAACUUCUUUUGUAUAGGGAUAAACCUAGAUACGUGUAUCUAGCUGAAGGUACUAUACGAAUAAGCACCGGCUAACUCCGUG
rnacentral:rRNA from 1 species